AACGAACGCUGGCGGCAUGCCUAACACAUGCAAGUCGAACUAGACCUCCGUGUUUUCUGGCUCUCGCGUGCGUACUGCGUGGGAACCUUCCCUAAAAUUCGGAAUACUCCCCCGACAGGGAUGCUAAUACCUUAUAACUUCUUCUCCCCAAACAUUUAUCGCCCUUGGAUGUGCCGGCGCUGGAUUAGCUCUUUGCUAAGGUAAAAGCCUACCAAGGCGACGAUCUAUAGCUGGUUUGAGAGGAUGCGCAGCCACACUGGGACUGAGAAACGGCCCAGACUACUACGGGAGGCGGCAGAGGGGAAUAUAGGAAAAUGGGCGAGAGCAUGAUGCAGCAAUGGCGGGUGAGUGAUGAAGGCGUUAGGGUAGUAAAGCGGUUUUACCCGGGAUGAUAAUGACAGUACCGGGAGAAUAAGAUCCGGCUAACUCAGUG
rnacentral:rRNA from 1 species